rnacentral:rRNA from 1 species
AUUGAACGCUGGCGGCAUGCUUUACACAUGCAAGUCGAACGGCAGCGCGGGCUUCGGCCUGGCUGCGAGUGGCGAACGGGGGAGUAAUACAUCGGAACGUGCCCAGUUGUGGGGGAUAGCACGUCGAAAGCCGGAUUAAUACCGCAUACGACCUGAGGGUGAAAGCGGGGGAUCUUCGGACAUCGCGCUCGGGUAGCGGCCGAUGGCAGAUUAGCUAGUUGGUGGGGUAAAGGCCUACCAAGGCGACGAUCUGUAGAUGGUCUGAGAGGACGACCAGCCACAUGGGAGCUGGGACACGGCCCAGGGUACUGAGGGAGGCAGCAGUGGGGAAUGUUGGACAAUGGUCGAAAGCCUUGUCCAGCAAUGCCGCGUGUGUGAUGGCGGCCUUGGGGUUGUAAAGCACGUUUUGGGGGUACGAAAAGGAUUGUGCUAAUACCACGGUUGGAUGACGGUAACCGCAGAAUAAGCACCGGCUAACUACGUG